UUACGAAGCUCGAAGUACUUCGUUUAAAGAAAUUGGACGUCGGAAUCGUGAGAACGAAGAGUUUCAAAUUUGGCCGAAAUUAUCGAGGCUUUUUCCAGCGAAUUUCUAACGAGUUGGAGGUCGGGGCAGGUAUGGUUUUGUUCGUCUUGUUGAGAUCUUUAAAAUGGUACCAAUUAUGUUGAAAAUGGUGCAAAAUGAAGAAGUUAGGACAAUUUA
rnacentral:lncRNA from 1 species